AAUCAACGCUGGCGGCGUGCCUCAGACAUGCAAGUCGAACGCGAAAUUUCCCUUCGGGGAGAAAGUAGAGUGGCGCACGGGUGAGUAACACGUAGGUAAUUUGCCUUUGGGUGGGGAAUAACUCAGGGAAACUUGAGCUAAUACCGCAUAAUGCAGCGGCUCGACAUCGAGACAGUUGUUAAAGCGGGGGAUCGCAAGACCUCGCGCCUGAAGAGAAGCCUGCGGCAGAUUAGCUAGUUGGUAAGGUAAUGGCUUACCAAGGCGACGAUCUGUAACCGGCCUGAGAGGGCGGUCGGUCACACUGACACUGACAUACGGGUCAGACUCCUACGGGAGGCAGCAGUCGGGAAUCUUGCGCAAUGGGCGAAAGCCUGACGCAGCAACGCCGCGUGGAGGAUGAAGGCCCUUGGGUUGUAAACUCCUGUCGGCUGGGAAGAAAUCUUCCGGGGCUAAUACCUCCGGAGGUUGACUGUACCAG
rnacentral:rRNA from 1 species